rnacentral:rRNA from 1 species
GACGAACGCUGGCGGCGUGCCUAACACAUGCAAGUCGAACGAGGCACUGUAGAUUGAGACUUCGGUUGAUUUCUACUUUGACUUAGUGGCGGACGGGUGAGUAAUGCGUGAGCAACCUGCCUCGGAGUGGGGGACAACAGUUGGAAACGACUGCUAAUACCGCAUGAUGUAUUCGGGAGGCAUCUCCUGAAUACCAAAGAUUUAUUGCUCUGAGAUGGGCUCACGUCUGAUUAGCUAGUUGGUGAGGUAACGGCUCACCAAGGCUGCGAUCAGUAGCCGGACUGAGAGGUUGAACGGCCACAUUGGGACUGAGAUACGGCCCAG